UACGUAGGUGGCAAGCGUUAUCCGGAAUUAUUGGGCGUAAAGCGCGCGCAGGCGGUUUCUUAAGUCUGAUGUGAAAGCCCACGGCUCAACCGUGGAGGGUCAUUGGAAACUGGGGAACUUGAGUGCAGAAGAGAAAAGCGGAAUUCCACGUGUAGCGGUGAAAUGCGUAGAGAUGUGGAGGAACACCAGUGGCGAAGGCGGCUUUUUGGUCUGUAACUGACGCUGAGGCGCGAAAGCGUGGGGAGCAAACAGGAUUAGAUACCCUGGUAGUCCACGCCGUAAACGAUGAGUGCUAAGUGUUAGAGGGUUUCCGCCCUUUAGUGCUGCAGCUAACGCAUUAAGCACUCCGCCUGGGGAGUACGGUCGCAAGACUGAA
rnacentral:rRNA from 1 species